rnacentral:rRNA from 1 species
AAACGACUCUCGGCAACGGAUAUCUCGGCUCUCGCAUCGAUGAAGAACGCAGCAAAAUGCGAUACUUGGUGUGAAUUGCAGAAUCCCGUGAAUCAUCGAGUUUUUGAACGCAAGUUGCGCCCGAAGCCCUCGGGCCAAGGGCACGUCUGCCUGGGUGUCACGCAACCAUUGCUCCCAACCCUCUUGAAACAUCAAGGGGCAAGGGGGCGGAUGUUGGCCUCCCGUGCGCCGCGAGGCAUGCGGUUGGCCCAAAAGCAGAGUUCCCGGCGACGGUCGCCACGAAAUUCGGUGGUUGUAAGACCCUCUGACACAGUCGUGAACGAUCGUAUGCCAUAAGGGACCCCCGAGACCCUGAUGCAGGCCUUGAAGGCGUGCUCCAAUCGCGACCCCAGGUCAGGCGGGAU